rnacentral:rRNA from 1 species
UACAGAGGUCCCGAGCGUUGUUCGGAUUUAUUGGGCGUAAAGAGCGUGUAGGCGGCCAGGUAGGUCGGUUGUGAAAACUGGAGGCUCAACCUUCAGAGGUCGACCGAAACCAUCUGGCUAGAGUCCGGGAGAGGAGAGUGGAAUUCCUGGUGUAGCGGUGAAAUGCGCAGAUAUCAGGAGGAACACCGGUGGCGAAGGCGGGGUCUCUGGGCCGAUACUGACGCUGAGGAGCGAAAGCAUGGGGAGCGAACAGG